rnacentral:sRNA from 1 species
UUGCAUUAGGGAUUGAAGUGAAAAUCCUUAUUUAUGUCAGUUUUAGUUUUUAUUUUGAAGUGAUAACGGAAAAAUAAAAAUAUGUAGUACACAUAAAAAGAUUGAAACAAAAAGCUCGACUUUUC